rnacentral:miRNA from 1 species
UGAAUGUUUUGGAGGCCCGUGG